AUUGAACGCUGGCGGCAUGCUUUAUACAUGCAAGUCGUGCGGCAGCGCGGGGGCAACUCUGGCGGCGAGCGGCGAACGGGUGAGUAAUACAUAGGAACGUAUCCUGAAAUGGGGGAUAGCUCGGCGAAAGCCGGAUUAAUACCGCAUACGCUCCACGGAGGAAAGCAGGGGAUCGCAAGACCUUGCGUUUCUGGAGCGGCCUAUGUCUGAUUAGCUAGUGGCGGGGUAAUAGCCCACCAAGGCGACGAUCAGUAGCUGGUCUGAGAGGAUGAUCA
rnacentral:rRNA from 1 species